GCACUGCUGAGGAGGAGUCCCAUAAUAGGACGAAACAGCCGUCCAGUGC
rnacentral:hammerhead_ribozyme from 1 species